rnacentral:rRNA from 1 species
UAACGCGUGGGUAACCUGCCUCAUACAGGGGGAUAACAGUUAGAAAUGACUGCUAAUACCGCAUAAGCGCACAGUGCUGCAUGGCACAGUGUGAAAAACUCCGGUGGUAUGAGAUGGACUCGCGUCUGAUUAGCUAGUUGGUGGGGUAACGGCCUACCAAGGCGACGAUCAGUAGCCGCCUGAGAGGGUGACGGCCACAUUGGGACUGAGACACGGCCCAA